UGCGUAGGCGGAUUAAUAAGUCAGUGGUGAAAUCUUUCGGCUCAACCGAGAAACUGCCAUUGAUACUGUUAAUCUUGAGUUCGGUUGAGGUAGGCGGAAUGUGUAAUGUAGCGGUGAAAUGCUUAGAUAUUACACAGAACACCAAUUGCGUAGGCAGCUUACUAGACCGACACUGACGCUGAGGCACGAAGGCGUGGGGAGCGAACAGGAUUAGAUACCCUGGUAGUC
rnacentral:rRNA from 1 species